UGUUUUUUUAUUGAGUCAGGUUUAUAUUUAGAAUCUAUUCUUCUUGCCUAAACAAAUUAAUUAUACUUUUUUUUUGUGAGUAGUUAUUGAUAGAACUUCUGUAACAAACUUUUGCACUCAUUACAUGCUAAUCUUGUUCUCAUUGCCGCUCAUUUUCCGAUUACGAACCCUUCAAAACCUCCGCGAAUACGGCGGUGACACACUCAACGCCAUGCCUCAGGUGUAUCACUGAUGCUCACAUCACCUGAUCUCGAAGAAGAGUCAGUUACAUCCUGUACCUUGUUUGAAUUGUCAAGCUUUUUGCUACGAAUCUGCUUUGCAAAUGUAAUAACCGCUUUCCACACCCUUUCAUCACUUGGUGUUCCGUUGCCUUCUGGUGGAACGUCUUCAUGUGAUUCCCUGGAUUUUAGACACUUGAUGGCUGAUAUUAGUACACAAAUAGUAGAAGUGGCACCAGAGAUGACAUAUAGAGCCCAUAAGCUUCCAAGAUUCAAACUAUCCGAAUCACUGGAGGACGUCACGUUGGAGCAAUCUUGUGAUGUAAUUAACCACUGUUCUUCCAAUCUCUUCAAUUCUGCCUUUUCUGAGAGAUGUAAUAUAGCUUUAGAGAAAUCUCUGGGUAAGGAAGGGCAUUAACGAGUUAAACUGUAUCAUCACUUACAAAGCCCAAUCCUCCAAAUCUAUUUCUAGGAAUGAAGCCGGUGUAUUUCUUGCAGUAUUCGCUAAUGAAUACUUUUUCAUAUGGGAGCUCAAGAAAAGCAGCUGCUAUGCUGUUGUUGGCGAAUGCUUCAUCAUACUUCCAUUGAAUGUCCGUGACUUUUGGUCGCAACUGCUUAACUGUGAGCAUUGAAGAAAGACUAGCUGUGUAGCAUGAGGUGAGAACCAAUACAAGAAAAAGCCACGAGAACAUCACCACUCGAGAUUAUAUGUUUUUUCAUAUUGUUAUUUUGCAUCAAAAUGACAAGGAAGUUUGAGAUUGAUACUCACUAUGAGCAAAGAACAGAGAGGAAAAAGUAAACCAAAAGGCUGUGCUGAGCUGGAGCUUCCAGUUUCCAUGGAACUCUGGGUUGGGUUCUCUCUCAAGAUACCAAACAACUAACAUUGUGUAAAUCAAGAUUGCAUCUGUAACCAGCCACAAUUCCCAGCUGAUUGGGAGUGAGGAAGAUCGCCCUGUUCAUCAGAAAUGCUUAUACUCUCCAAUUUUGGUGAAUUUCUACGACAUUCGGAGAUUACACUUCCUUGAGGAAGUUGAUCAGCUUCUUCAUAGUGGUUAUGGUUACGUAAACGCUUCUUCAACAAAGCUAGUAGUAAGCAGAUGGUGGAUGUGGCAGCACAUAUGACAUAGAGUCCCCAAAAUUUGUCAAGAGUCAGACUCUCAGUUUCUUCUGGAGAUGGUAACGAUGCUUGAAGUACAACAAAAACCCGAGAUUUUAACGGCAACAACUUCAGCAAUUCAUCAAGAACAAACCCUUUUGGAUCAGAUAAAGAAGUGAAUGGUGGAAGAGCUAAUAGAUACUCAAUCUGCAAGUUAAACUUUUCGAGAGCCUCGGAUAAGAGGCUUAACAUUCCAGAUUCGCUACUAUAAGGGUUGUCUUCAUAUAUAACUAUAACUUUCUGAGAGUUGAAAGCAUGAAUCAUAUCAGCUAUGAAGUUCAUUUGUGCAGAAAGAUUUUGUGACAUUUGAAUCAAGAAAGGCCAACGAAGUUGCACUAAUGAUGAUGGGACUGAUGGUGGAGAAGAAAAUGAAAUUAUUGGUACUUGAAACUUGGCUCCAAGGUCAGCAACAAGAGCUGCUUCUUGCCAUGUUUCCAUGCCGAUAAUCACUUUAACUUUUUCUUUAGUGAUUAAUUCUUCAGCUGAAAACCAAUAAGAAGCAAGAUAUUAUCUAUAA